rnacentral:rRNA from 1 species
UACGGGGGGGGCAAGCGUUGUUCGGAAUUACUGGGCGUAAAGGGCUCGUAGGUGGCCAACUAAGUCAGACGUGAAAUCCCUCAGCUUAACUGGGGAACUGCGUCUGAUACUGGAUGGCUUGAGUUUGGGAGAGGGACGCGGAAUUCCAGGUGUAGCGGUGAAAUGCGUAGAUAUCUGGAGGAACACCGGUGGCGAAGGCGGCAUCCUGGACCAAUAUUGACGCUGAGGAGCGAAAGCCAGGGGAGCAAACGGG